UUCAGCAUUGUGCCUGUAAUGAAUAAAAGCAAGCAGCUCCAGCUUUUCAGGGCUGCUAUCUGGCCACUAGAGCCCAGAGUCAUCUGGCUGCUCUUACACUGCAUACCUGUGUCUGAGUACUCAUUUCAUCUGUUGGCCUGGGUCUGUGGGACAGACUCGGCAGGUGGUGACCCAUGUGAAGAACACUGCCAUGGAUCCCGAUGGAAGCCUCGAAAAUGAAAGCGAAGUGACUACGCAGUAAGUAAUUGAUGCCCACUGGAGAUUUUCAAGUUCAAGGGGAGUUUUAAGCUAGGGUUUCACCAUGGGACAACAGUUAUUGGCCCGAAAGCAACAGUAUAUAAAAGUAUUCAAACAGCUGCUUCAAGCUAGCAAAGUGUACAUCUCAGAGGCCCAAUUAAGGGCCCAAUGCAAACUGUUGUUUUCCAUAACCCAGGGUUCCUGGAAGAAGACACGCUUCUAGAGGUCUAGGAACAAGUAGGAAGAAAUGUUAAACGACAUCAUGUGCAAGGGCAACAUGUCCUAGUAACAUCUUUAACAUUAUGGGCCUUAGUUAGGGCUGCUUUGGCACUGUCUACACAGAAGAGCUUAAAAAGAGAAGGGAGCAAGAACCAUCAUCCACCCUACUGCCUCCUCCUCCUCCCUCAGCCUCACCGUUACCAGGUAAAGGUGCCACAGAGGAGACACAGAUUUUCCCUGAGCCCCCUCCCCAGUUAAAUUGGAAAAAAGACAAGGGAUACACUACAGUUAUGGGACCCUGUUUUAGUCAAACAGCAUUAGAAGGGGAGUUCUUGGCCUGCCUGGUGAUGCAAGAUCAACAAGAAAAUUGGAUAUAUGAACCCAUUAUUUUCAACUUAUAAACAAGAAAAAACAUUAGAGAAACAGAGCUGCUAACCCAUUUACAAAAGGAUUAACUGAGGCCAUACCAGACAACUUCCAUAUGACCCCAUGGGACUGGUCAGUGCUAGCUAAAACAACUCUCGUGGCCAGUCAAUACUUCCUCUGGAGGGCAGAAUAUGAUGACUUGUGCGAACAACAAGCCAACCAGAAUCAACUGGCCAGGCAAAACAUAGCUGCUGCUAUGCUCCAGGGGAGGGGUCCCUAUAUCGAUGUAUAACAGCAAUUAAAUUUUAUCCCCCAAGCCUAUGUACAAAUGUCCUUAUGUGCUCACAGGGCUUGUGCCAGAUCCCCAAAGCAGGAGUUUAACAGGGCUUUUUUGUAAAUGGUCGAUAAGGGCUUUGGGAGCCAUUUGUUGAAUUUACCAAUAGGUUAACCCAGGCAAUUAAGAGACAAAUUAGUCAUGCCCAGGCCACUGUUAUCUUACUGUUGUAAUUGGCUUAUGAAAAUGCUACAGUACACUAUCAGCAGGCAACGCAGGCAAUCAGAGAAAGGCAGCUACAGUCGAGAAACUUACAUGAGCACGUCAGCUGGUAGGGACUGAAACACACAAAGCCAGAAUAUUGGCUAUGGCAUUAAAGCCUCCAAAAAUAAAAAGGGAAAAACCCAAAUUGUUUUCUAUGCAGAGAGCCAGGUCAUAUGAAGCAGGAAUGCCCAAAUAGUAAAGACCAAAGGAACUCAGGAAAAGAACACCCCUCUAUCUGCCCUCAGUGUAUAAAGAAAAAUUGAGGAAAUAGAGCAAGCUAUUUCUCAGAAGCAAGUAGAUUGCACAGACCCACAAUAUUCAGUCCAAUUAUCUGUAUUACCUACUAAACAUUCCCCAACAGGAUUAAUAGGACAGAUGGCCCCAGAGCUACACUUACCUAAUCAGUUAUGGCAAACAGAUAUUACCCACAGCCCUGAAUUUGGAAAACUAAGAUAUGUACAUGUAUCCAUUGAUACCAAUUCUCACCUAAUUAGCACUCAUGCUCUUUCUAGACAGUCUGCCUGAUAUGGUAUUAGACAUUUUCUCUUAACCUUUGCAUUUAUGGGGCAGCCCACAAAGAUUAAACCUGGUAAUGGUCCAGCUUACGCCAACUCACAAUUUCAACAAUUUUGUCACACAUGGAAUGGCCAAAAUUCCAGGGGUAUACCAUAUAACCCCCAAGGCCAUAGCAGAACGUAUCCACUCCACCCUUAAAAAUAUGUUCAGAAAGGGCUGGGCACGGUGGCUCAAGCCUGUAAUCCCAGCACUUUGGGAGGCCGAGGCGGGUGGAUCACGAGGUCAAGAGAUCGAGACCAUCCUGGUCAACAUGGUGAAACCCUGUCUCUACUAAAAAUACAAAAAAUUAGCUGGGCAUGGUGGCACAUGCCUGUAAUCCCAGCUACUUGGGAGAAUGAGGCAGGAGAAUUGCCUGAACCCAGGAGGUGGAGGUUCUGGGGAGCCGCGAUCGUGCCAUUGCACUCCAGCCUGGGUAACAGGAGCAAAACUCCAUCUCAAAAAAAAAAAAAAGAAAAUGUUCAGAAAACAAAAAAUGGGGAAUAUGAGAAAGGACCCUGCAACACUAUUAGCACAAGGCUAAUUUAACCCUAAUUUCUUAAACUUAGAUGAUAAAUUUCAAUCAGCUCUAGAAAAGCAACUGGAAAAAUCACUCAAGAUACAAAACCUUCAGUUUUAUGGAAAGAUAUAAAUAGUAAUAUAUGGUGUGAUCCAAAUGAUUUGCUAACAUGGGGAAGAGGUUAUGCUUGUGUUCACACCCUCUCAGGUCCUCUUUGGAUUCUAGCACAACUGCAUCAAACCUCAUCAUGGUGUGGCUAGGACCCAACCUAGUACCAGAAAUGAAGAAAAUGGCCCGUAGGACCUGCAGCCCUGAACGAUGUGACUUCCUCAAAUGACACAGGCUCCAGAUAUUACCUGGGGGAUGCUGAAGAAGACAACUCAGGAGGCUGGGAUGCAAAGCUGGAACAUGAGUUGGAAUGGCUACACCAACCAAACUGGUCACUGUGGAUAUCUGCACACUUCAAUCAACAAAACCUGAUGCAAAAAUAAAUAAAUAAAAACAAAAAAGGGGAAGAUGUGGGAGAUCGGUCAGAGUGGUGGGAAAAACUACAAGGAAAGAGAGCAAACCUUCUGGAAGGUAGGAAGAUUCUGCAGAUCCCUGCGGGAGAAUAGCUGAAGGCAGCUGUUCUAUAACCAUUGCAUUUAUGGGCAGCCCACAAAGAUUAAAAAUGAUAAUGGUCCAGCUUACACCAGCUUCUGAUUUCAACAAUUCUGUCACACAUGGAAUGUCCAGCAUUCCAUGUCCAACAUUCCCUGAGGCAGAGGGCGAGGAGUAGGUAUAAGGGAGUAUGGCAGAAUUUAUCUAAAAACAGACUUGUUUACUUAUGUUGACCAGGAACUGACCUUUGAUCAUCCACACACAUAACUUUCCCUGAAAGGGGAACAAUAAAUGUUAAUUACCUACAGGUUGUAUUGGCUCCAGGUUUUCUGCAUUGUACCUGCACUGAAUAAAAGCAAUGAGCUCCAGCUUCACCAGGUUGCUCUCUAGUCACUAGAACCAGUCAGUCACCUAGCUGUUCUUACACUGCAUACCUGUGUUUGAGUACUCAUUUCAUCUGUUAGCCAGGGUCUUUGAAACAGACCUUGCAACACUUCUACAACCAGCUGAUCUUUGACAAACCUUCCAAAAGCAAGCAAUGGGGAAAGGAUUCCCUAGCUAAUAAAUGGUGUUGGGUAAACUAGCUGGCCACAUGCAGAAAACUGAAACUGGAUCCCUUCCUCACAACUUAUACAAAAAUUAACUCAAGAUGAAUUAAAGACUUAAAUCUAAGACCUAAAACCAUAAAAACCAUAGAAGAAAACCUAGGCAAUACCAUUCAGGACAUAGGCAUGGGCAGGCAUUAUGACUAAAACACCAAAAACAAGUUGCAACAAAAACCAAAACUGAUAAAUAUGAUCUAAUUAAACUAAAGAGCUUCUGCACAAGAAAAGAAACUAUCAUCAGAGUGAAAAGACAUCCUACAGAAUGGAAGAAAAUUUCUGCAAUCUACCCAUCAGACAAAGGGCUAAUAUCCAAAAUCUACAAAGAACUUAAACAAAUUUACAAGAAAAAAAACAAACCACAAAAACAACCACACCAAAAAGUAGGCGAGGAAUAUGAACAGACACUUCUCAAAAGAAGACAUUUAUGUGGCCAACAAAUAUAUGAAAAAAAAAUCUCAUCACUGGUCACUAGAGAAAUGUAAAUCAAAACCACAAUGAGAUACCAUCUCAUGCCAGUUAGAAUGGCAAUCCUUAACAAGUCAGGAAACAACAGAUUCUGGAGAAAUAGAAAUGCUUUGACUCUGCUGGUAGAAGUGUAAAUUAGUUCAACCAUUGUGGAAGGCAGUGUGGUGAUUACUCAAGAACAUAGAACUAGAAAUACCAUUUGACCCAGCAAUCCCAUUACCAGGUAUAUACCCAAAGGAUUAUAAAUGAUUCUGUUAUAAAGACACAUGCACACAUGUUUACUGUGGCUCUAUUCACAAUAGCAAAGACUUGGAACCAACCCAAAUGCCCAUCAAUGACAGACUGGAUAAAGAAAAUGUGGGACAUAUACACCAUGGAAUACUAUGUGACCACAUAAAAGGAUGAGAUAAUGUCCUUUGCAGGGACAUGGAUGAAUCUGGAUACCAUCAUUCUCAGCAGACUGACACAAUUAAAGAAAACCAAACACCUCACGUUCUCACUCAUAAGUGGGAGUUGAACAAUGAGGACACAUGGGCACAGGGAGGGGAACAUCACAUACCGGGGCCUGUUGGGGGAUGAAGGAUUAGGUGAGGGAUAACAUUAGGAGAAAUACCUAAUGUAGGUGACUGCCUGAUGGAUACAGCAAAUCACCAUGGCACAUGUAUACCUAUGUAAGAAAACUGCACGUUCUGCACAUGUAUCCCAGAACUUAAAGUAUAAUUUUAAAAAAAGACUUCCUAAAAAAAAGGAUAUGUAAAGUAUUUUUUUUAAAGCCAGUGUUUCUAAAAACAAAACCAAAAAAAAUCACAUACUUGAAAGUUUCAAAUAUGCCUAUCAAGUUGUUUAUAUCUCUUCUCCGCACUAUCCCGUUGUAAUUUACACACUUGUGCAAGUUAAAGGAUGAAAAGGAGGAGAAUGCAUAUCUCAGAGAGGAGGAGCUGCAUGAGAAGACGGACCUGGGAAAUCACUGGCAUGGGCCUGCCCUCUUUGAGGCAUUUCCAUCCCUCUUUACGGUAAUAGAGGGCUUUGUGAAUUCUCAAACACUAUCUCUAGCAGUGGUACCAUAAAAACUUUUUAUCAACAGUAAAUGUCUAUCAAGUUUUAGCCUUGAUAGCUACACACAGUUUACUUAUCAUCUUUGUUUCACCACGGUCAUCUCUUAUACUCCAGUUGUCUCUACAAGCAUAUGUUUGAUCCUUGUGAAAUACAAAAUGAAGAGUUUGCUCGAUCAUUAAAAUAAUUUUCGUUAGUGACUUCCCUGUUUAAAAAGGCAGUUGUUCCUGAAUGUGCUGAUAUUAUGCAAUCUCCACAAUAUGGUAUUUAAUGAAAAAAGACAUAAUAAUCUAUUGUAUAUGCCCUCAUGUGCAUACAAAUGGGGUAUAUGUGUAUCUAUGUAUACACAUUUGGAUAUCUAUCUUCUUGGCCACACACAGAUUAUCUUUUUGAAGGAUUCAGGAGAAAUUGAUGGUGAUCACCUUUGAGUAAGGCUUAAAGCUCUGAGAAUGAGGUUCAUUUUUCCAACAUGCCAUUUAUUCUAUUUGAAUUUGUGACAAUAUAAAUGAAUUAUUUUCCCAUUAAUAAAAAGGUAGUUAAGAAUAAAA